rnacentral:rRNA from 1 species
UACAGAGGUGCCGAGCGUUAGGCGGAAUCACUGGGCUUAAAGCGUGUGUAGGCGGACUGUUAAGUACCUUGUGAAAUCCCCCGGCUCAACCGGGGAACGGCUGGGUAUACUGGCGGUCUUGAGCCAUCCAGGGGCAGUCGGAACAGACGGUGGAGCGGUGAAAUGCGUAGAUAUCGUCUGGAACGCCGAAGGUGAAAACAGACUGCUGGGGAUGAGCUGACGCUGAGACACGAAAGCCAGGGGAGCGAACGGG